CUUGGGGUUUUCUUAACUGUGCUUUUUCUGCUCUGCAGGAAAGAUGCAACCUGGGCCAGAGGCCCCUGGAGGUUGUGCCUGAACCCAGACAGAUCACACAAACCUGAGCAGCCAUUAGCCGCUGUGUGGGCUCCUUUGCACUGUGGGGCUGCUCCUGGGGAUAUUUACGUUGUGAACUGGUAAAAUCUGAACUGCAGAAUAUCAAUUUCCAGACAUUCUUCCUAGAUGAUGCCGUCUGCCACGGAGACCAUGUAGAUGGAUUGAAUGGGGAUAUGAUGAGGAUGACCACCCCUGCAUUUGCUAAGUUCUUGGGAGUGGCAUCGAUCUCAGCCAUUCCACUGGAAUAGGGUCAGGAAACAAAACGUGAGGGCUCUACCAGCUGCUCAGUCUAUCCUUUCCAAUUGAGCACACUGGAACUGAGGAAGCAAAGACAGGAUAAUGGACCUUAACUAGUGGGCUGAAGGCAAUGAGGGGAUGUGAGGAUGCAUCUUGUGAAGGACAAAAGUCAUCCUGUAAGGAUUCAUGAGACCUGAGCAGCCAGCCAGCCCUGAAAUGGUUGGAACAGGAGAAAGAAGAAGAGCUCGACAGAUACCCUGCCUGGGCUGGCAGCUAGCUGCACCACAAGCUGGCCAGCUGACAGCGGGCACAUCCCUUCAUCACCCAGUGCCUUUCUUCCCUCUUGUGAAAAUGGAGAUAUGCUGAGAAGGUUACUUCAGCUCAUCCAGAGAAAGCUUCUUCAGCUAACUAGGCUGUAGAAAGGGCCUACAGCCUAAAUUUUCAAAAACAAGUUAAUGCCAGAAUAUAAACUCCGUGAAGUAA
rnacentral:lncRNA from 1 species